rnacentral:lncRNA from 1 species
UUUUAGGCCUAAAAAUAGGUGUCCUGCAUAUUCCAUUAGAUCGUUAAAACCUUUUUAAGGUCGAUAUUGGCCAAAUAGAUCAACUAUCUCGAAAUAAUGCAUAAAAAUUCUUAUUUUACAAUAAUUUGAAUCUAUGUUACGAAAUGUGAAAAUGUAAUAAAAGACAUUGAAAAGACUAGAAAACAAUCUCGUUAAGUGCCAAAAAGUACUUAAAUUGCCAAUACGAUUUGUGGUCAGUCAAUGACGUUGAACCUAGGAGGAGGAAAAGAUAGGUGACUACCACUAGUUUUGAACUUGAUUUCCUUACUACCUUUGUAACUUAAAUUAGAGAUUUAGCCUUAAUAAGUGAUUCUAUGCUAAUGCAUUUUUUAUAGUUGAGGAUCCAAAAACCUAUGAUGAAGCUAUAUAAUCAAUAGAUGCUAGUUUUUGGAGAGAUGCGAUAAAUAAUAAGCUAUAGUCUAAUAUGUCUAAUCACACUUAGGAACUAGUAGACUUGCCUAGAGGAUUUAGACCUAUUAGUAAUAAAUGGAUUUUUAGAAAGAAACUUAGACAAUAUAGGUCAAUAUAGAGGUAUAAGUCAAGAUUAGUUGUAAAAGGGUUCACUCAGAAAUUUGGAGUAGAUUACUUUAAUAUAUAUUCUCUUGUGACUAAGAUCUCAACCAUUCAUUUUUAUUUACUUUAGCUUCCAUUCACAAUUUGUUGGUACAUCGAAUGGAUGUGAAAACAACUUUCUUGAAUGUUGAUUUGGACAAGGAGAUCUAUAUAGAGCAACUUCCAAGAUUUGUUGCACCUGGUGUAACGCCAUCGACCUAACUCGAUCUACCAGAUCCGAAUUUCAGGUGUUACACCUUAUAUGGAUGUACUUGAAACUUUUCUUUCUUUCUUUUAUUCAUUGUUGUAAAAGUCUCCAUGAAUGUAACAAAAUUUCUUAUUAGUGUGCAUUUACAUUUCGCCUAUGUACAGACUACUAUCUAUGGCUACUAUAGAGUUUCUUGUAAAUAUACAAUAUAUUGUUAUCGUUUUGACGCAAUAACAUUUCAAACUUCCUUACUUAUCUCUCUCAGUCUACUAUGUACAUCUUGGAGUACUACAUAUUUAUUUAGGCUCAAAUAUCAGUUAUAAACAUAUUCAAUUUCUACUCUAAUGACUUAUGCACAGAUUUUGACACGCCACUUGAUUUUCCUCUGUAUGCAUAAUAGCCCAGUGUACUGCUUCAUUGGUGUAGCCCUGGGAUCAUCUCUCGGUGCACUUUCCUUUACAGACCUAGAAACACAAACAACUUUAAUAAGUUCGUAAGAACUUAGUGAGGUAAACCUUAGAAUACCUUUUUCAUUCAUUCUACGUUGCAUAUGGUAUAUUGCACAUCUUUAAGUAUUUCUUGACAUUUCCUCCUUUGGCAGGUACAUUUCUAAGGCUACCAUCUUUCUUUCUUCAAAACCAUUUUCCUUCUCUUGGGCGUACUAUACUUACCAUCUCUUUAUCUUUUAUAUCCUUUCUUAACUCUUACCUUUAAAUAAUCCUUAACCUCUUCAUUUACCCUAUCAUCAACCUUGAUAUCUUAUUCCAUACUUAUCAGUCUUAUCAUUAUCUUCGGGCUGGAUAGACUGCGCCCAGUACUUAUUUAAAAAAUUCCCCAUAUUUUUCUUACUUUAGUCCAUUCUCUGUUUUUACUCUUAACUUAUAUCGUUGCCUUGCCACAUGCUUUGGCGCUCACUAGCCUUUCUUAUUCAUCCAUUGUAACUAUACAAGGUUCGUCAUUCAUUCGGUAUUUUCCAAAGGCAUUUUCUUCAGAUGGUCAUCAUGAGAUCCAUUCUUUAAAUUUUGCCACGAAGGCAUUCCUUUCCGAAGAUAGCCACAAAGCAUUCCUUUUAACAGUGAUAGCCACAAAGGCUUCCUUUUAACAGAGAUCCCCCCAAAGGCUUCCUUAUAACAGAGAUCGCCAUAAAGGCUUCCUUAUAACAGAGAUCGCCAUAAAGACAUUCUUUUAAUAGAGAUCGCCACAAGGGCUUCCUUAUAAUAGAGGUCACCACAAAGGCUUCAUUUCAAAGGUAGCAACAAAUGGUCACUUAUAUGGAAAUUGGUGUUUUUGACGAUAAGGAUUUGCCUAAACUCACCGUCGUGAGGUUAGCCCCUCAUCACUUUACUCACCCAAUCGUCCUUUACAUAUUCUAUAUGACACCAUAGCCCAACUAUAGUCUUACACUAUAUGGUCUUUAGAGUGCCAUUGACUUUUUCUUUUAGUGAUUCAUGUUUUUAGUCUCAAUAGACCCCUUUAGACGACCCUAGAGAUAGAUAUAGUGUAACACCUCCUAACCCCAAACCGUCACCGGAACAGGGUUACGAGGCAUUACAUGACAAAUCAAACAAUUUACAAAUAAUUCAUAUAAAUUUUACUAAUUGACUUCAUUCAUUUUUUAUUUUUUUUAUUUUUUUAUAAAAAUUUCGGCAGCAUUUUUGCUUAUUUUUACAUACAACCCCCUGCAAAAUUUCAAACAUAACCAACCCAAUUCCAGUAUUUCAACCAAGGCAUUUAUAUACUUAAAUCUUACUUGACAUAUUGAUAUAACAACUUAUUUAAUAAAAAUCCUAUUAUCAUUUCUAAUUAACACAUAAAACUAAUCAAGUCAUUUCAAUUCGAUACCAAUGCCAUAAAGGACUUCUACCAAUUUGCUAAUAUAAUCAUCAAAAUACUUAAUAUCUUACUUUACAAUAAAACUAGAUAACAUACCAAAAUAACUAUUAUAAUUCUUAUGUACAUGCCACUUUCUCUUAAAGGAAGAAAACAUCACCAAAAUCUUUAUGUCGGAGUCGGGAUUGUUCUGGAUGCUGAACCGAGACUCUGAUCCCUUUUCAACCUGCGCACAGAAACAACCUUACGCUGAGUAUUUUAUACUCAGUGGUAUUACCAUAAUUCAAAUUAUAAUAACAACAAAGAAUUAUAAUUACCAAGCAUGUAACUAUCCGAUUUCUUAAAUAUCAAUUAAUUUAUAAACUUUCAUUAACUAACAAUAACAAUACAAUUUUUAGCUAUUCUUCAAUUUCAAUCAUAUAUCACAUGUAAUAAUUUCAAUCACUACAUAAACAUUAAAUUCAUGCUUUUCAUUUUCAAUCUCAAAUUUCAAUCCACAAUUUUAACUUUUCUUAUUUCAAUUAUUCACCCUAUUAACAAUCUGGACUUUGACGGAUACACGGAUUCCAACCCAAACACACCAAUAUGGCACAUUGUGCCUAAAACGGUACAUAGUACUUGAUCAGUAUACGAUACAUAAGUGCCUGAAACGACACACGAGGUGCCUGAUACGACACAUAAAGUGCAUGAGAUACGACACAUAAAGUGCCUGAUCGGCAGAGCCGAUAAAUCCCGUACACUUCUAAAUCCUAUGGCAUGCCAAUUAUACCCGACUCAGCCCGACUAGUUAAUAGGGUAUAUAAAUUUCACAAUCUAAUUUUCACUUUUAUUUCAAGAAUUCAUUUUCAAUAUCAAUUAUACUUUUUCACUUCACUAAUUAAAACACAGUUCAAUACCAACACAUAUUUUCCUUAUUCAAUUUAAUUUUUUUUCAAAUUCAAUUCAAUAAAGUUACUUACCUUAUUAUAUGCUUACCAUACACAUAAUUUAAAUUUCACAUCAAAUAAUAAACAAUUUGAAUUAUAGUAAUACAAACCCGAAUUUUGCUCGAUUAUUCCUCAAUAACCUUCUCCUUUCCUUUGUGUGUCGAUGCCUCGAGUUCCUUGUUAGCUACAAAAAUAAUAAUAAUUUACACCAUCAAUUACAACAUUAAUUUAUAAUAAUAAUAAAAUUUCUAUCCAAUUUAUACUUUAAUUCUAAUUUAAUUCACACUCUAUUUCUAUUCAAAUUUCUUCUAAACUCAAAUUUAACUACCAAAUUUUCAGUAUAUUUCAUUAAUUUCGAAUUUUCCUCAAUUUAAUCCCUACAAACAUAAAAAUUAUAGCUUACUUCACAAUUUAAUCCUUUUAUCAACUCUAACUAGAAAUUCUAUCAAAUAAAACCUCAAUUCCAUCACUUAUUCAACAUAAACCCUACUAAAAAAUCUAUUAACUUUCAAAGUUUCAACUUAAAUCCAAGAGUAUUUCACUCUAGGGUUCCAAAAAACAUCAAAUUUCUGAGAAAAGAACUUGAUUUAGCUUACCUAUUAAACUUCAAGCUUCAAAAUCUCAAUUUUCCCUCUUUCUUUUC